GCCUGGUGACAGCUGCCAGGAAGGAG
rnacentral:misc_RNA from 1 species